AAUCAACGCUGGCGGCGUGCCUAACACAUGCAAGUCGAACGCGAAAAGGGGCAACCCUGAGUAGAGUGGCGUCCGGGUGAGUAACACGUGGAUAAUCUGCCUGCGGGCGGGGAAUAACUUUCCGAAAGGGGGCGUAUACCGCAUAACACCGUAAUAGGGCAUCCUGAUACGGUCAAAGAGGGGGAGUCGCAAGACCUCUCGCCUGCAGAGGAGUCCGCGGCCGAUUAGCUAGUUGGCGAGGUAACGGCUCACCAAGGCAGCGAUCGGUAGCCGGCCUGAGAGGGCGAACGGCCACACUGGCACUGAAAUACGGGCCAGACUCCUACGGGGAGGCAGCAGUGGGGAAUUUUGGGCAAUGGCCGAAAGGCUGACCCAGCAACGCCGCGUGAAGGAU
rnacentral:rRNA from 1 species